GUACUGAUGACGAGUCCCAAACUAGGACGAAACAGUUGUCCGGUAA
rfam:Trichobilharzia regenti genome assembly, scaffold: TRE_scaffold0002848